GGUUCAGGAUGAACGCUGGCGGCGUGCCUAACACAUGCAAGUCGAGCGGAGAUAGUUGAAGCCUAGCGAUUCUAUCGUUAGCGGCGGAUGGGUGAGUAACACGUGGGUAACCUGCCCUGUACUGGGGAAUAACAGCUGGAAACGGCUGUUAAUGCCGCAUAUGCGCACGGAGCCGCAUGACUCUGGGCGGAAAGAUUUAUCGGUACAGGAUGGGCCCGCGCCGGAUUAACUAGUUGGCGGGGUAACGGCCCACCAAGGUGAUGAUCCGUAGCCGACCUGAGAGGGUGACCGGCCACAUUGGGACUGAGACACGGCCCAAACUCCUACGGGAGGCAGCAGUGGGGGAUAUUGCACAAUGGGGGAAACCCUGAUGCAGCGACGCCGCGUGAAGGAUGACGUAUUUCGGUAUGUAAACUUCUAUCAGCGGGGAAGAAGAUGACGGUACCCGACUAAGAAGCCCCGGCUAACUACGUGCCAGCCGCAGC
rnacentral:rRNA from 1 species